rnacentral:rRNA from 1 species
AAUGAACGCUGGCGGCAGGCUUAACACAUGCAAGUCGAGCGGGGGAAGGUAGCUUGCUACUGGACCUAGCGGCGGACGGGUGAGUAAUGCUUAGGAAUCUGCCUAUUAGUGGGGGACAACAUCUCGAAAGGGAUGCUAAUACCGCAUACGUCCUACGGGAGAAAGCAGGGGAUCUUCGGACCUUGCGCUAAUAGAUGAGCCUAAGUCGGAUUAGCUAGUUGGUGGGGUAAAGGCCUACCAAGGCGACGAUCUGUAGCGGGUCUGAGAGGAUGAUCCGCAACACUGGGACUGAGACACGGCCCAGACUCCUACGGGAGGCAGCAGUGGGGAAUAUUGGACAAUGGGGGGAACCCUGAUCCAGCCAUGCCGCGUGUGUGAAGAAGGCCUUAUGGUUGUAAAGCACUUUAAGCGAGGAGGAGGCUACUCUAGUUAAUACCUAGGGAUAGUGGACGUUACUCGCAGAAUAAGCACCGGCUAACUCUGUGCCAGCCGCCGCCGUAA